rnacentral:rRNA from 1 species
CCUACGGGAGGCAGCAGUGGGGGAUAUUGCACAAUGGGGGGAACCCUGAUGCAGCGACGCCGCGUGGGUGAAGAAGCGCCUCGGCACGUACAGCCCUGUCAGCAGGGAAGAAAAUGACGGUACCUGAAGAAAAAGCCCCGGCUAACUACGUGCCAGCAGCCGCGGUAAUACGUAGGGGGCAAGCGUUAUCCGGAUGUACUGGUUGUAAGGGGGGCGCAGACGGCGAUGCAAGCCAGGAGUGAAAGCCCGGGGCCCAACCCCGGGACUGCUCUUGGAACUGCGUGGCUGGAGUGCAGGAGGGGCAGGCGGAAUUCCUGGUGUAGCGGUGAAAUGCGUAGAUAUCAGGAGGAACACCGGUGGCGAAGGCGGCCUGCUGGACUGCAACUGACGUUGAGGCCCGAAAGCGUGGGGAGCAAACAGGAUUAGAUACCCCUGUAGUC